rnacentral:rRNA from 1 species
GAAAAGUUACUAAGGGCGUACGGUGGAUGCCUUGGCUCUCAGAGGCGAUGAAGGACGCGAUAGGCUGCGAUAAGCCGUGGGGAGGAGCAUAAUAUCCUGUGAUCCGCGGAUCUCCGAAUGGGGAAACCCAUCCAGUUGAAGACUGGAUAUCCGCCGCAAGGCGGAAGCGAACCCAGGGAACUGAAACAUCUAAGUACCUGGAGGAAAAGAAAUCAAGUAGAGAUCCCCCGAGUAGUGGCGAGCGAAAAGGGGACAGCCCAAACCGGGGGCGUUUCGGCGCAACCGGGGUUGUAGGACCACGCCGUGGAAGCCGUAUUCAUAGUGGAACCCUUCUGGAAAGUUGGACCAUAGCGGGUGAUAGUCCCGUACACGACAUGAAUGCGGUACCUAGUGGUAUCCUGAGUAAGGCGGGACACGUGAGAUCCUGUCUGAAUCCGCCAGAACCAUCUGGCAAGGCUAAAUACUUCUGAGAGACCGAUAGCGAACCAGUACUGCGAAGGAAAGGUGAAAAGCACCUCGAACAGAGGAGUGAAAUAGUCCCUGAAACCGUACGCUUACAAGCGGUCGGAGUCCCUCCGGGGAUGACGGCGUGCCUUUUGCAUAAUGAGCCUACGAGUUGCUCGUCACUGGCAAGGUUAAGGGCUUCAGGCCCGUAGCCGAAGCGAAAGCAAGUCUUAACAGGGCGCAUAGUCAGUGGCGGCAGACGCGAAACCUGAGUGAUCUAACCAUGGCCAGGAUGAAGUCCCGGUAACACGGGAUGGAGGUCCGAACUGGUAGACGUUGAAAAGUCUUCGGAUGAGCUGUGGUUAGGGGUGAAAGGCUUAUCAAACUGGGAGAUAGCUCGUACUCUCCGAAAUGCCUUUUGGGGCAGCCUCGGACGUAUUGUUGUGGAGGUAGAGCUACUGAUCGGGCUAGGGGGCUUCACCGCCUACCAAACCCGGACAAACUCCGAAUGCCACAACAUCAAUAUCCGGGAGUGAGCGCGCGGGUGCUAAGGUCCGUGCGCGAAAGGGAAAUAACCCAGACCAUCGGCUAAGGUCCCCAAAUGCAUGCUAAGUUGAUCUAACGAGGUCGGACUGCAUUGACAGCUAGGAUGUUGGCUUGGAAGCAGCCAUCCAUUUAAAGAGUGCGUAACAGCUCACUAGUCGAGCGGUCCGGCGUGGAUAAUGAUCGGGCAUCAAGCAUGCUACCGAAGCUGUGGGCCCGCCGCAAGGCGGGCGGUAGGAGAGCAUUCCGGUCUGCGUCGAAGGCGUGUCGUGAGGCAUGCUGGAGCGUCCGGAAACGAAAAUGUAGGCAUAAGUAACGAUAAGGCAGGUGAAAAACCUGCCCGCCGAUAGACCAAGGGUUCCUGAUCAACGUUAAUCGGAUCAGGGUUAGUCGGGACCUAAGGCGUAGCCGAACGGCGAAGCUGAUGGACAGCAGGUCAAUAUUCCUGCACCGACUUGCAUUGCGACGGGGUGACGAAGGAGUGAAAGGUCCGCGCACGAACGGUAUGUGCGUUGAAGGGCGUAGGUAUAGGGCUGGUAGGCAAAUCCGCCGGUCCUGCUGAAACCUGACAGUACCACGAGCCCUCGGGCAAGUGGAUAGUGACCCUAAGCAGACUUCCGAGAAAAACCUCUAAGCUUCAGAUGCAAGCCGCCCGUACCGCAAACCGACACAGGUGGUCAAGGAGAGGAUCCUGAGGCGCUCGAGUGAUCCGUGGCUAAGGAACUAGGCAAACUAACCGCGUAACUUCGGAAUAAGCGGUACCCUGCGCAAGUAGGGUCUCAGUGAAAUGGCUCAGGCGACUGUUUAACAAAAACACAUGGCUCUGCAAAAUCGAAAGAUGAUGUAUAGGGCCUGACACCUGCCCGGUGCUGGAAGGUUAAGAGGAGAGGUCAGCCGCAAGGCAAAGCUUUGAAUCGAAGCCCCAGUAAACGGCGGCCGUAACUAUAACGGUCCUAAGGUAGCGAAAUUCCUUGUCGGGUAAGUUCCGACCUGCACGAAUGGUUAGCUUCACAUUGACAUCGGCUGCCCGAUGUGUAGGAUAGGUGGGAGACUUUGAAGCGGUGUCGCUAGGCAUCGUGGAGUCAACGUUGAAAUACCACCCUUCGUUCAUCUGAUGUCUAAUCCCUGCGAAACAGGGAAACAGUGUGUGGUGGGUAGUUUGACUGGGGUGGUCGCCUCCAAAAAAGUAUCGGAGGCUUUCAAAGGUACCCUCAGCACGCUUGGUAACCGUGCGUUGAGUAUAUUGGCAAAAGGGUGCUUGACUGUGAGACCGACAAGUCGAACAGGUACGAAAGUAGGACAAAGUGAUCCGGUGGUUCCAUAUGGAAGGGCCAUCGCUCAUAGGAUAAAAGGUACGCCGGGGAUAACAGGCUGAUCAUUCCCAAGAGCUCAUAUCGACGGAAUGGUUUGGCACCUCGAUGUCGGCUCGUCACAUCCUGGGGCUGGAGAAGGUCCCAAGGGUUCGGCUGUUCGCCGAUUAAAGUGGCACGUGAGCUGGGUUCAGAACGUCGUGAGACAGUUCGGUCCCUAUCUGUUGCGAGCGUUAGAAGUUUGAGGGGAGCUACCAUUAGUACGAGAGGACCGUGGUGGACGAACCGCUAGUGUACCAGUUGUGGCGCCAGCUGCAUCGCUGGGUAGCUAUGUUCGGACGGGAUAAGCGCUGAAAGCAUCUAAGCACGAAGCCCACCUCAAGAUGAGACUUCUUCAUAAGGGUCGUGGAAGACUACCACGUUGAUAGGCCGCAGGUGUAAAGUCAGCAAUGGCAAAGCCGAGCGGUACUAAUUACCCGUAAACUUUGACC